GGACUUGGGGCCUGAUCCCAAACCUACCUAAGCCAGUGGGAAUUUUUCCAUUGACUUCAAUGGGCUUUGGGUCAGGCCCUGUCUCC
rnacentral:pre_miRNA from 1 species